AUGAUGCGGGAGGAGAUGGCGAUGUGCAAGAUCAGAGACGUCAGUGAGCUAUAUGCCCUGGCCGACAAGUGUGCACGUGCUGAGGAAGGGAGGAAACUCCCGGGAGAGAAUAUAGGAGCAGGAGGAUCUGAUAGUGAGGAGACUGCCCCGGCAAAGAAAAACCGGCGGCGGAACAACAGGAAGAAGAAAGGCAAAGAUGUGCUAGUCAUUGAGCAGUCCGGCAACGGAGGUGGCGCCAAGAAAGCCAAAGCUGGUAGCUCCGGCGAGGAGGCUGUGGCGGUCGCCGACAAGCAGGACGGCACCAACAAGCAGUACUACAAGAUCCAUCGUACCAAGGGCCAUGACCUCCAGAGCUGCAAGUAG
rnacentral:rRNA from 1 species